GGGCGCAUAACUCAAUCGGCAGAGUGCCAUCCUUACAAGAUGGAAGUUACAGGUUCGAGUCCUGUUGUGCCCA
rnacentral:tRNA from 4 species